rnacentral:rRNA from 1 species
UACGUAGGGUGCGAGCGUUAAUCGGAAUUACUGGGCGUAAAGGGCGCGUAGGCGGCAUAUUAAGUCAGCUGUGAAAUCUCCGAGCUUAACUCGGAACUGUCAGCUGAUACUGAUGUGCUAGAGUGCAGAAGGGGCAAUCGGAAUUCUUGGUGUAGCGGUGAAAUGCGUAGAUAUCAAGAGGAACACCUGAGGUGAAGACGGGUUGCUGGGCUCACACUGACGCUGAUAGCGCGAAAGCCAGGGGAGCAAACGGG